CCUACGGGUGGCUGCAGUGGGGAAUAUUGGGCAAUGGACGCAAGUCUGACCCAGCAACGCCGCGUGAAGGAAGAAGGCUUUCGGGUUGUAAACUUCUUUUAAGGGGGAAGAGCAGAAGACGGUACCCCUUGAAUAAGCCACGGCUAACUACGUGCCAGCAGCCGCGGUAAUACGUAGGUGGCAAGCGUUGUCCGGAUUUACUGGGUGUAAAGGGCGUGCAGCCGGAGAGACAAGUCAGAUGUGAAAUCCGCAGGCUCAACCUGCGAACUGCAUUUGAAACUGUUUCCCUUGAGUAUCGGAGAGGUCAUCGGAAUUCCUAGUGUAGCGGUGAAAUGCGUAGAUAUUAGGAAGAACACCAGUGGCGAAGGCGGAUGACUGGACGACAACUGACGGUGAGGCGCGAAAGCGUGGGGAGCAAACAGGAUUAGAUACCCUUGUAGUC
rnacentral:rRNA from 1 species